rnacentral:tRNA from 1 species
GGGUCUGUAGCUCAGUUGGUUAGAGCGCACCCCUGAUAAGGGUGAGGUCGGCAGUUCNCUUGGCUCCACCA